AGUCGCCGAGGAUGGUGUCAUGGCGCCCCGAACCCUGCUUCUGCUGCUCUCGGGGGCCCUGGUCCUGACCCAGACCUGGGCAGGCUUCCACUCCUUGAGGUAUUUCCACACCACCAUGUCCCGGCCCGGCCGCGCGGAUCCCCGCUUCCUCUCCGUGGGCGACGUGGACGACACGCAGUGCGUGCGGCUCGACAGCGACGCCACGAGUCCCAGGAUGGAGCCGCGGGCGCCGUGGAUGGAGCAGGAGGGGCCGGAAUAUUGGGAAGAGGAGACAGGGACCGCCAAGGCCAAAGCACAGUUUUACCGAGUGAACCUGCGGACCCUGAGCGGCUACUACAACCAGAGUGAGGCCUGGGCUGCCAGCCACACAGAGUCAUGGACAGGUCUCUACAGACACAACUUAGUGCCAGCUUGGAUGAAACCCUCUGAGGAAUGGGUGCCAUCUUUCAGGAUGUGGUGCAUGUAUUGAAUCAAAGAUGUCUCUAUAGUGCUGUGUUUACAGAAGGAAGAAUACGUGGGUCCAAAAACCAAGAAGUAGAAGCAGGUGUGGCUCCAUAUCUAAACCCUUAUAUUCACCUUCAGGGUGAUUUUGCACUUCUCAUCUCCAAUAUCUGGGCUCUGUAGGGGAGGAGGUCCUGGUUUCCCAAAGGGGGCACCCUGGCAAGGAGACAUUUAAAUGAGAGUCCAUGGAAAUACACAUUAUGGCUGCCCCCAGGGAUGUUUGAAUAGUAUGUGUCCAGAUACAAGCAGGUGAGAAGAGGAGGAGGCAGGGCUGCUAUCACACAAGGAGGGCAGGAGAUGUGUGUGUGGAAAUAAGAGAUCCACUUGGAGACCUUAUGGUUCCCCUUGUCCUGUUGUAAGUGUGAGCAGAAUCAUCCAGCAACCCAGCCUGAGAGGGUUUCAUAUUCAAGAGCCCAGAACCCUCAGGAAGGAAGGAUUGAGUGAUACUCACAGGUAAUGUCCCAAGGCUGUGCUCCUGUGCUCUGACAUCCUCAGCAGGAUUGGUGCAAAGCCCUGCUUCCCAUGGGCUGUUCCCAGCCAGUGACUGGUCACAGCAGGCAUUAAGGCAAGCCAUUCCUGGGAGACACGGGACUCCUCUGAUGGCUAACUGUAGCUGGAAGACUCCUCCACGGCCUUGCUCAACUCUCCUUAGAUUGCCUGUGCUCUAGGAUGCGUCAAACAAACUUUCUCUCCUUCUGUCCAGCACUUGGGGUCACACUUGCAUCGUGGUCUGCCGCCUUUUCUCAGGGAUUUCUGGCUCACUUCCCAUAUUCCCUUACGGGUGUGUCCCCUUAUAAGAUGUCGCAGACUUUAAGCUCAUCUUGGCAUCUGCUCCUUGAAGGACUUGGACUAAAAAUUAUUUCCAUCUGCAUAUCAAUAACUCUUAUUCCAACCUGUAAAAUCCUUCUCUUUAUCCAACUUCUGCCACCCCCACAGAAUCUAUUUUACUUGUGUGUGUAGUAUCUCUUUGAGUUAACAGAUAUUUGUUCUAUUAAGCUACUAAAUUUUGAGGUAGUUUGUGACACAGCACUUGAUAACUAUUAAGGCUUUCUUAAGUUUCCAUUAUUCCAUGGAUAUUAUCUACAUAUCUUUUAAUCCCUUGCAUUUUAAUAACAUUAGCUAUACUUGCUGUUUCCAACUCUUUCCUCCUAUUUUUGAACAUUUUAAAUUUUGUCUUUCUCUGUCCUUCCUUCCUUCUUUCCUCCUUUCCUCCCUCAGAGCUUUCUCCCUCCCUCCAUUUUUUUCAUAAACUCCAAGUGUUUAGGCCAAAAGGAAGCAUUAUUUGAACUUUAUGCUAAAAGUAUAAUGCCGUAAUUUAUAAUAUAAAAGUAAAGAAAAGGAAGUUGUUAAUGGAAUAUGAAAAAAUGCCUAGGGUGAUUCUAUAGCCAAGACAGUACCUUUUAACAUUUAAUUUCUGCCUCCAACUGAAUGUUUUCAGAACACAUGAGCAACACAAGCUCUUUCCCAUUCUUGGUACAAGCACUUGAGAAAUCAAAUUAGCCUUAUCUAGUAUGAUUAAUGUCCAUACAUCAUAUAAUCCCACCAUCUGCCUCCUGAUCAUACCCCCUGGGGACAUUCUUGGCUAUGUGUCCAGGAGACAUGUACACCAAUGUUUAUGGCAAAAACUGGAAACAAUCACAUAUACAUCAAUGGGAAUUAACAAAAUAGUCGUAUAAUAAUAAAAAGUAAAACUUCAGCAGCAACAGUGAAUGAACAGCACCCUCCCACAUCAGAGAUAACUCUCCUACACAUAACAUGCAUCAGCAUCACAGAAGAAUGCACAUUGUGUGAGUUCUCUGUACGGGGAAGUUAAAAAAAGCAGGUCAAACUGUGAUUUGGAUAUAUAUAUAUAUACUUAUUGUAAAAAUCUUUAGAGACAAUGAAAAGGAAUAGUAAAUACAAGACUCAAGAUAGAAGUUCCUUUUGGGGAAUAGAAUUGGACAACAGCCGAGGGUGGCUUCAUAGGUUUUGUUUUUUAUGCCAGGAGGGGAUGUCCAGGUAGUUAAGUUACUUGAUCAUAAAUCUUUCUUUCCUUCUUUCUUUCUUUCUUUCUUUCUUUCUUUCUUUCUUUCUUUCUUUCUUUCUUUCUUUCUUUCUUUCUCUCUCUCUCUCUCUCUCUCUCUCUCUCUCUCUUUCUUUCUUUCUUUCUUUCUUUCUUUCUUUCUCUUUCUUUAUUUAUUUUCGAGAUGGAGUCUCCCUCUUGUUGCCCAGGCUGGAGUGCAGUGGCGUGAUCUCAGUUCACUGCAACCUCCGCCUCCCAGGUUCAAGCAAUUCUCCUACCUCAGCCUCCUGAGUAGCUGGAAUUAUAGGCAUCCACCACGACACCCAGGUAAUUUUUGUAUUUUUAGUAGAGACGGGGUUUCACCAUAUUGUCCAGGUUGGUCUCAAACUCCUGACCUCAGGUGAUCCGCCAACUUCGGCCUUCCAAAGUGCUGGGAUUACAGACAUGAGCCACCAUUCCCGGCCCACAAAUCUUUAAAGUGUCAUUUUUCAAAAUGCACCUUGUGCGCCAUUCCUGACUGAUUAUUUGGAAAUGAAAGAGAAAAGAAAAUACCAAAGUUCAUCUCAAGGAUCCUUAGCAAUAACUACACACGUUAAAACAAAGCCACAGCCAAUUGUAAAGAGUCAUGUGACAGAGAGGACCAGGAUCUCAUGAAAAAUAGCCUUGGCUAGAAAGAGGUCAUUUGACCCUGGGCUAAUUGGCAACUCUCUACAUUGUCUGGCAUACAGUGUUCAAUCUGAUGUGCAAGGCAAUUGUAUCUUGCAAAGAAUUUGAGAAUUUGAUAUGUUGCUCACAUUUUACCACACAUACAAGUGGAUUAAACUUUUACACAGUAAAAAAAAAAAGCAUUGUUGAGCAAAAUAAAUUAAAUGAAAAGACAUAAAGGAAUAACUAGUGAUGAAAUAGCAAUAAGAAUGGAAAACAUGAAAGAGAUGCUUGUACAGCAAUGAUAGCAGCACAAAAGAACAGUGUUUUUCAGAAUCAUACGGGAGUCCAAAUCACUUCUACCACAUCUAAUUAAAAAACACAGUGAAAGAUGUUAAACUUUCAUAGGAUGCCCACUGAAUAGCCAGUUAUUGAAAAAUCUUGUUCCUAGAUUGGAGUAAACAAUUUCUGCCUACCCUAGCCAAACAAAUUAUUGUCAUGAUGCUAAGCUAGUGUAUAGACAGAGGUGUGAGAUUCACAUUUUUCUAACUGCAAAGCACCCUGAUUAGGCAAAUAUUUUUGUAGAUGCUUGAGUAAGAAAAUUGGCAUUUUGGGCAUUCUUAAACCGAAUUAGAAACUUCUGAAGAGAAACAAACGUAGUUAUGAUUGUAAAGGCAUUAUUGUAUGGCACCAAAGUCUUGGGACACUUUAAUUUAGCUACUGUAUUUUCUCAACUCUGUUGCAACUUAUCAAAGAGAAUAUUAAUAUUAAAGGCAUUUACAAAAAAAAUCUGAGAUAUUGUUGUAUCUUCUUUCUCUGUCUCAAAUAUUUAAUCAACUUUACAGAAGAGAAUUUUAAAGUAUUAAAAAAAGUCAGAUACAAGAAGUAUUUGAUUUACAAAACCCUGAAACAAUAAUGUUAAUUUUGCUUUUAACAUGUUUAUAAAUUCUUUGAUACUCCUCCUUUCCAGAAGUGCAGCUUCAUUCCCUCCCUGUUCGUGUGGCCUGGACUUAAUGACUCACUUCUAACUGAUAGAGUAAUGCUGACAUAAUAGUUUGUGAUUCUGGGUGUAGAACAUAAGACUCACUGAAGUUUCUACUUUGGUUCUUUCUUUCUCUGGAAUCAUGAGCCCUGGGGGAAGCUGGCUGUUGUGUCAUAAGGAGGCCUGUGGUCCAUGUGACUAGGAAGUGAGUCCUCCUGGGACCAGACAAUAAGAAGCUAAAGCCUCUUCCAAAAGCCAUGUGAGAGAUUCUUGUGUCUUGUGAAUCCCCGGCCCCAUUUGAGCCCUCAGAUGAUUCAGCCCUGGAAGACAACUAGACUGCAACGUUGUGAGAGGCCCUGAGCCAGAAGCAUUCAGAGAAACUUCUCCUGGAUUCCUGACCAUGGAUAACUGUGGGAGAUGAUAAAUAUUUGUUGAUUUGAGCUGCUAAGUUGUAGGUGACUUGUUAUGCAGCAGUAGAUAACUAAUACAGCUUCACAAGAGAGGAUGAAUCACUGAACUUUUUCAUUUGCUCUAAAUUCAUUAUAAGAUAUUAAACAUGUCAUUUGCUUUUAAUAUUUAAUAAAAAUUUCCAUGGCUAUAUAAGAUA
ensembl:lncRNA HLA-V major histocompatibility complex, class I, V (pseudogene)